ACUAAUAGUAGAUAACUGCAGCCUGCUGCCUAUUUCUUCCCUACCCAGUUACUCUUUUAAAAGUUUUCCUCUUCAGAACUCUCAUCAGGUGAGGUUCAAGAUUAUUAAAGAUUGUUUACCUCUUAAUGAGAGUGCUUUCAGAAAUGCUAUUAAGGACAACUACCAGGGUUUCAAGUUUAAUCAAGAGCUGAGUAAGAAACAGGUGAAAACUCUAAUUCUUUGUUUAGCCUGUUCAAUGUGCAAACAUAUGCUGCUGCUGCACCUACUGUCCCAAAUGUGGCACCACCACGCUCAUUCCCAGGUCAUUCUCAGCGGUCAGGAAACAGAUAUUUAUCAGGUUUUCAUCAUUCGGAAGCCCUUGUUGCUAGAUCUGGACAUGUAAAUCCACACUUGCUGCAUAAACCAUAUGAACCAGAAACACCCAUGGCACAUAUACAGUCUUCCAUAGAAAGUCUUGGUAGCAAUCAGCAGGCUGCUCAUCAUCAUACUGCUGAUCCACAUUAUUUGACAGAAGCACAUAAGGCUUACUUGCCUGAGAAAGCCUCCUCAUCUGCUCAUGACCUUUAUCAAAGGUAUGGGGGCGCAUGAGGCAACUCGAGUUGCUGGUCAUGGAAGUGAGUACCAUACAUCACAACUGCCAAUCCCAAAAGAAAUUGCUUCACAACCAGAAAAAAUAACCAGCCACUACUAUAGUCAAAAUGACCCUCCUGCAGCACCAUACCAUUCUUCACAAACACAUGCUAUAAUGCCUCCCUAUGCAGUAGCACUGUCUUCUGGUGCAGCUUAUUAUGCUUCUCCAACCACUGAAGGUAUGAACCUAGCAUAUGCUGAUCCUCUUCAAAGGCUUUUACCUGGAAGCUCUAGCUUGAUUCAGGCUAACAUUUCAGUCUCUUCUUGUUAUUCCUUUACCGGAGUUGCUCCAACCUAUCACUGAGUUGGUCUUAAAAGGGGAUAUUUUAAUGCAGCUGGUAUGUAACACUUCUGCUUACAGUAGCAUUAGCAAUAACUAACAUUGAACUUAUCAUACCAUUAUCUUUUACCAUCAGUCAGCAAACGACUUUUUCAUUUCUAGUCUCAGAUUCAAGAGCUACUUCAGGAAUGAGCUGGAAUGCGAAACAACAAUUUUUGGAAACAGUAAUUUAUAGUGUUUACCUAUGUCCUAGAUUUGUGGAAGUGGAACCUUCCUUAGCCUUUCCAGCUUCAUCUUAAAAAUUGGAGGCUUGAUUUGUGGCAACUAAGUGUAAGAAUUUGGGCUUUACCCUGGAAAUUUUUUCUCUUUUUUUCACCAUUCUAUGUGGUCUUUAGGAUUGUUUGCCACUGGCAUUUUUAGUCAUAAAAACUGAGGUAGCUGUAAAUAAAUUCAAGAAAAAAAAUUUCCUCGUUCUCAAGCUUUAAGUUUAGAUUAGCAUAUGGAGUGUUUCAUCUUGUCAUCUAUUUAGCGAGAGCUUUUAUCAGAA